UGCCCUACGGGCGCAGCAGUGGGGAAUAUUGCACAAUGGGGGGAACCCUGAUGCAGCGACGCCGCGUGGGUGAAGGAGCACCUCGGUGCGUAAAGCCCUAUCGGCAGGGAAGAAAAGCGAACAGGUUCGCCUGGACGGUACCUGACUAAGAAGCCCCGGCUAACUACGUGCCAGCAGCUGCGGUAAUACGUAGGGGGCAAGCGUUAUCCGGAUUCACUGGGUGGAAAGGGAGCGUAGACGGCGACGCAAGGCUGGAGUGAAAGCCCGGGGCCCCACCCCGGGACUGCUCUGGAAACUGCGGCGCC
rnacentral:rRNA from 1 species